rnacentral:misc_RNA from 1 species
CAACCCUCAGGCCCCCGGGCCUGGCGUUGGGGAUCGGCGGAGCCCCCCGUGGGCACACGCCGUCCCCCAAAUACAGUGGCGGUCCCGCCGCAGCUUCCAUCGCGUAGUAGCUAACACCUCGCGACUGGAGAGCGGCGCGGCCACGCCGUAAAACAACCCAACUCUUCUGA